rnacentral:rRNA from 1 species
ACGGAGGGUGCAAGCGUUGUUCGGAUUGACUGGGCGUAAAGGGCGUGUAGGCGGUUGCCCAAGUCCGAUGUGAAAGCCCGGGGCUUAGCCUCGGAAGUGCAUCGGAAACUAGGCAGCUGGAGCGCGAUAGAGGAGGGUAGAAUUCCUGGUGUAGCGGUGAAAUGCGUAGAUAUCAGGAGGAAUACCGGCGGCGAAGGCGGCCCUCUGGAUCGUUGCUGACGCUGAGACGCGAAAGCGUGGGGAGCAAACAGGAUUAGAUACCCUGGUAGUCCACGCUGUAAACGAUGGGUACUAGGUGUUCGGGGUAUUGACCCCCUGAGUGCCGCAGUUAACGCAUUAAGUACCCCGCCUGGGGACUACGGCCGCAAGGUUA